ACGCUCGACACCUACGGGAGACAGCAGUGGGGAAUAUUGCACAAUGGGGGAAACCCUGAUGCAGCGACGCCGCGUGGAGGAAGAAGGUCUUCGGAUUGUAAACUCCUGUUGUUGGGGAAAAAGAGGAUGGUACCCAACAAGGAAGUGACGGCUAACUACGUGGCAGCAGCCGCGGUAAUCUGAGCGGGCUGGCAAGGC
rnacentral:rRNA from 1 species